UACGAGGGGGGCAAAUGUUAUUCGGAAUUAUUGGGCGUAAAGGGCGCGUAGGCGGCAUGGCAAGUGGAUGGUGAAAUCCCUCGGCUUAACCGAGGAACUGCCGUCCAAACUGCUUCGCUUGAGACCGGGAGAGGUGAGUGGAAUUCCCAGUGUAGCGGUGAAAUGCGUAGAUAUUGGGAGGAACACCAGUGGCGAAGGCGGCUCACUGGACCGGUACUGACGCUGAUGCGCGAAAGCGUGGGGAGCAAACGGG
rnacentral:rRNA from 1 species